rnacentral:tRNA from 1 species
UUUAAUGUGGCAGAAAAGUGCUAUGGAUUUAAGUCCCAUCCAUGAAGAUUUAUUACACAACUCUUCCAUUAAAA